AGAGUUUGAUCCUGGCUCAGGACGAACGCUGGCGGCGUGCUUAACACAUGCAAGUCAAGGGGGCCCAGCAAUGGGCAACCGGCGAACGGGUGCGUAACACGUGAGCAACCUACCGAACUGUGGGGGAUAGCCGGCCUAACGGCCGAGUAAUACCGCAUACGCUCUCAGUGAGGCAUUUCAUUGAGAGGAAACCUACGGGACAGAUCGAGGGGCUCGCGGCCUAUCAGCUAGUUGGCGAGGUAACGGCUCACCAAGGCAACGACGGGUAGCUGGUCUGAGAGGAUGGCCAGCCACAUUGGGACUGAGAUACGGCCCAGACUCCUACGGGAGGCAGCAGUGGGGAAUCUUGCGCAAUGGCCUAACGGCUGACGCAGCGACGCCGCGUGUGGGAUGAAGCUCUUCGGAGUGUAAACCACUGUUGCCCGGGACGAACAGCUCGAUUAGUCGAGCCUGACGGUACCGGGGUGAGGAAGCACCGGCUAACUCCGUGCCAGCAGCCGCGGUA
rnacentral:rRNA from 1 species